CAGUAGCCGCGGGAAUACGAAGGGUGCAAGCGUUAAUCGGAAUUACUGGGCGUAAAGCGUGCGUAGGCGGUUUGUUAAGUCCGUUGUGAAAUCCCCGGGCUCAACCUGGGAAUUGCAGUGGAUACUGGGUCACUAGAGUGUGGUAGAGGAUAGUGGAAUUUCCGGUGUAGCAGUGAAAUGCGUAGAGAUCGGAAGGAACAUCUGUGGCGAAGGCGACUAUCUGGGCCAACACUGACACUGAGGCACGAAAGCGUGGGGAGCAAACAGGAUUAGAUACCCCCGUAGUCCCUGUCUCUUAUAC
rnacentral:rRNA from 1 species